rnacentral:lncRNA from 1 species
ACAAGCCACCAUUUAUAUGUCUAAAAAGAGACUUCAGAUCUGUGUGCAGAUCUCUUCUGCUGGAGGCCAUAGGCCACUGUGCUGCACAUUCUUUUUGUGUGAGCUGCACUCAAUCUGUUUUCUCCACACCAGACUCAGCAGUUUAAGGAGGAUUGUGCAAAGGAAGUUACUUUUUGAACCAGGACAGCUGUUUGCCUCUGUGGUAACCACAGAAGAAGGGGUAGAUGGAGCUUAAGGGCCCUUUUCCAAACAGAAAUGUAGCUCAGGUUAGUGUGCAGUAGCAGAAUGGCUUGAUGCAUAGAGCAGAAGACUCCAACUUCAACACAGAUAAAUGUUGGCGCUCAGACCCUGAGGGCAUCUGUCUCCUCAUCCCUAAUCUUAAUAAACAGGAAUGAAAGGCAUAAUUAGACCACACAUAUGUUUGUACAGAUCAAUAAUCUGUAAAUAUGUCUAUCUAAUGCACACAUGCAUAGAUAGAUAGAUAGAUAGAUAGAUAGAUAGAUAGAUAGAUAGAUAAUAGAUUGAUGAUAUCUAUCUAAUGCAUAGUUGGAUAAUAGAUAGAUAGAUAGAUAAAUAGAUAGAUAUAUAGAUAGAAAGAUAACAGGUUAUAGAUCUUAUUUGAGGAAUGACUGAUAUACAAAGAACUGCACAUUUCAUUGUGUGUAAUUUAAUGUGGUUUCAACAAAGUUACUGUAUUAAGUAUCUAAGUAUCUCCCAUAGUUAUGUCUUUUAAAAAUAAUAUUCCUUAGUUUACUUUUGUAUUAAGAGCACAGCAUAGGACCUACCUCUUCAACAAAUUCAGAUGUGUCCAGGAAUAAAUUGUUAAGGUCAGUAUCAUGUUCCCAGUAGAUUUCUACAAUUUAUUUAUCUGACAUAGUUGAAGCUUUAUACAUAUAGGGUAACAACUCUGCAUUCUUCCACUGAGAAAGCAUGACCUAAGGUUGGUCACUCUGUGACUAUAUCAUUUAUCUUAGAGAAAGUAUUCCACCCUCAUGUCUGUUGUUCUAAAUCCCAGUGCCUCUUUUAUUUCUGAGGCAGAGAAAUGUCCCAUCCUGUGUGUACUGUGAUUUCUUUGUCUCUCCGCUUGUUCAAACGUGAGUCGUUCCUUACCUGAGCUGGUUUUGAAAGGGUUGAAAUGCACAUGGGAAUUCAGAUGUCUUUGUGGGACUCUGGUUGGAGUUCCUUUGGAUCUCAUGGACAUUGGAGCCUGCUUUGUUUGCUUAUUUUUGUAGAUAUCUGCACUGUUUUCCACAACUACUCCUCCACUUUAUAUCCCCACAUUUUUUCAGUGUAUUCCGUGCCUGCAUUUCCUUGCUGUUUAGUGAUAUUGGCAAUAUCCCUGUUGGCCAUUCAUACACCCUUGAUGAGGGGUGUCUUGUCACGUUCGAAAUAUUAUCAAUUGCGUUAUCUGUUGUCCCUACUGAUCUCUAGGAGACCCUUACACAUGUUGGAAAUGAAUCAGCUGCCUGAACCCACAGGGGUUAAUGAUGCUUGCUAAGGGUAAGGACAGAACCAGAUUACCAAAGGACAGAUUCUUAAACUGACAUUGUAGAGAAGACUGCACUGCC